rnacentral:rRNA from 1 species
GACGUAGGGCGCGAGCGUUGUCCGGAUUUAUUGGGCGUAAAGAGCUCGUAGGCGGCUUGUCGCGUCGACUGUGAAAACCCGCGGCUCAACUGCGGGCCUGCAGCCGAUACGGGCAGGCUAGAGUUCGGUAGGGGAGACUGGAAUUCCUGGUGUAGCGGUGAAAUGCGCAGAUAUCAGGAGGAACACCAGCGGCGAAGGCGGCGCUCUGGGCCGGUACUGACACUGAGGAGCGAAAGCGUGGGUAGCAAACGGGG